AUGGCAAGGUUGCCCAAGACCUCCCUUGGCCCCCACCGAGCCCUUGAGCCAUCUGCAAGUGAAGACACAUGUCUGAUGACUACAUGGUACAUAAAAGAUCCUGGUGGUGGGAAGGAGAUGAGGCUGGAUCAGCUAUUUGAUAUUAUUUUAUUUUGCUUUAAAGAGCCAGCCAGAGGUGAUGAUGGUGCCGACCUAGAUGUCACACCUUUCCUGCACGGUCACCUCAGAAAGGAUGGCAAGGCCUACCCGAAGUUACUUUUUGGACCAAAGUACUGAACCUAGACAGUGAUGAAAGAAUCAACAUGCAAGCUGGCUGACUUGGGGCCCUAACUAGAAACCUCCUGGGGCGAGGUCCUCCUGGCUCUUCAAAACAUGGUGCAAAGCUAGAAGCAAAUGACCAGUGGGAAGCUGGUGAUGAAGGCUCCACACACACUCCAGGCCAUGGGUGCUGAGGUCCCCACCAGGUUUCUGGGGACAAGCCAUCUCCUUGGGUCACACUAACUUUCCUGUCUCACGCCAAAGAGAUCAGCACAUUCCAAAUGUUGUGCCAUGUCGGGGCGUGGGGGGGUCUUGGAAGCCUCUCCUCAACCCCCUCUCCAGUUGAGAGAAUGACGAUGGAUUCCACAGACCUUUACGAAGGACAUCAGGCCUGGCGUGGAGGCAGAGCCGCCCAGUUAGAGGAGCUCACAACCAGAAUUCAGUCCAGGGGGACUGAUGGGUAACACUGAAGUUCAGCAGGUGUCGGAGCGCUCGGGGGACUUUGCAAUACCUUCCUUAUUUCCUCAAAAGCCAAAGAUGGGGCAGGAAGCUAUGGGGCUGGAAGUCAAAGCAGAGGGAAUGGUGGUGGGUUUUCAAGACCCAAGGAUGCAUGUAAGGACCAAGGAUCUUCCAGCGGAGAAACCAUGGCUCCGGCCUGUUGGAGGGAGCGGAGGAUGGAGGAAUGAGGAGGAAGGGGUGAGACACCAGUCAAUCUGAAACGUGAAGCCCUACUUUAGAGAAAUGAGUAUGCACCCUUCUAGUGGUGAGCUCCGGCCUGGAGAUUGGAGGCAGCCUGUGCUCCUGGUCUAACCACCCCUCCCUCCCAGCUCCGUUCAUCUCUGCCCACAGACACCCUCAGAAGAGCCUGGCAAUGCCUCUUCAAGCCUCCGCCACUAGAUGUGUGGAGGAAGGGAAAGCAUCUAGGUCUUUUGCCUCUUGAGCUGACUUUGGAACAAAGAACCAGACUGAGUGGCGGGGGGACAGGUGUCUUCCAGCAAAGCCACCCAAAUGUGCUUCC
rnacentral:lncRNA from 12 species